ensembl:lncRNA
GCGUACACCUCGGAUGUCCCAACCAAAAACAGGAAAAGGAAAGAAUACUGAAAACACCGUACACAGAAGAUUUUCAAAUAUGAAGAGAUAGUAGACAGGAGAGUUGUAAAUGAAAAAGAAGAAGUUAAAGUCAAGUGGAAGCCCUGCUCAACAUGGUAUGUAGUAACAGCUUUGUUACUACAAAACUCUCCCCCUCUCCCUCACCACCAUCUGUAAACACACAUGUCUCAGUAAUGCAGUUCAUGCAUGUUACUAACUAAACUUCUUCCCUGGAGUUUCUGUGCUCUCUCAUCCAGCAGGUUCUGAAGGAUCGUGGCUGCUGCUGUGGUCCUGCUUGACGUCUGCUUCAUAUAUUAUUACUCUCUGACUUGAUUUGAUU